ensembl:snRNA U6 U6 spliceosomal RNA
GUGUUGCUGUGGCGAUGCAAGUACAAAAAUCUGAACGAUACAUAGAUGAUUAUCAUGCCUGUGCAAGGAUGACACACAAAUUUCGUGAAGCAUUCCUCAUUUUA